rnacentral:lncRNA from 1 species
AAAUUUGGAAGAAAGUUAAAUGACAGAAAUUGGUUUCAUUUCCUGCUUUCAAGUGUCAGGGCCACAGGGCCCUACCCCUGUACAGUUUAUUGUGGUCUCAGACUGCAGUGGUAACUCUCUAUUUGAAAUGGCCAUCAUGAGAAUCUCUCAAACACCUGAAUUGGCUGGAAUCACUUAUUUCUUCCCAAAGAAUAAUGGUGUCUGGGGUGGCCUUUGCUCUACAGGGGACAGCCCAAGGCUCAGGCAGGAGGGUUUCCUGAGUCCUGAAAGGAGGGAUUUGAUACAUAUGUCCCAUCUGUGGCUCAGUGUUCCAAGGUCUCUCACUGCAUGCUGUCUGGCUGUGGGUCUCUGUAUUUGUUCCCAUUUGCUGCAGAAGGAAGUUUUUCUGAUGAUGGACAACCUGCCUCACUGGCCUACUUGCUUCUCUGGCAGGCUUG